GGCCUGAUAGUGGAGUUGGUACCGCACCUGCUUUAGAUAACAUAUUUGUAGUAGUCCCGGCAGGAGACCCCCGUUCGAUUCGGGGUUAGGUCA